AUUGAACGCUGGCGGCAUGCCUUACACAUGCAAGUCGAACGGCAGCACGGGUGCUUGCCCCUGGUGGCGAGUGGCGAACGGGUGAGUAAUACAUCGGAACAUGUCCUGUAGUGGGGGAUAGCCCGGCGAAAGCCGGAUUAAUACCGCAUACGAUCUACGGAUGACAGCGGGGGACCUUCGGGCCUCGCGCUAUAGGGUUGGCCGAUGGCUGAUUAGCUAGUUGGUGGGGUAAAGGCCUACCAAGGCGACGAUCAGUAGCUGGUCUGAGAGGACGACCAGCCACACUGGGACUGAGACACGGCCCAGACUCCUACGGGAGGCAGCAGUGGGGAAUUUUGGACAAUGGGCGAAAGCCUGAUCCAGCAAUGCCGCGUGUGUGAAGAAGGCCUUCGGGUUGUAAAGCACUUUUGUCCGGAAAGAAAUCCUUGGCCCUAAUACGGUCGGGGGAUGACGGUACCGGAAGAAUAAGCACCGGCUAACUACGUG
rnacentral:rRNA from 1 species